rnacentral:rRNA from 1 species
UUAAGUUAUGAAGGGCGCACGGUGGAUGCCUUGGCACUAGGAGCCGAUGAAGGACGGGACUAACACCGAUAUGCUUCGGGGAGCUGUAAGUAAGCUUUGAUCCGGAGAUUUCCGAAUGGGGAAACCCACUGCUCGUAAUGGAGCAGUAUCUUUACCUGAAUACAUAGGGUAUGGAAGGCAGACCCGGGGAACUGAAACAUCUUAGUACCCGGAGGAAGAGAAAGCAAACGCGAUUUCCUGAGUAGCGGCGAGCGAAACGGAAUUAGCCCAAACCAAGAGGCUUGCCUCUUGGGGUUGUAGGACACUCAACAUGGAGUUACAAAGGAACGGGGUAAAUGAAGCGACCUGGAAAGGUCCGUCAUAGAAGGUAAAAACCCUGUAGUUGAAACUUCGUUCCCUCCUGAGUGGAUCCUGAGUACGGCGGAACACGUGAAAUUCCGUCGGAAGCAGGGAGGACCAUCUCCCAAGGCUAAAUACUCCCUAGUGACCGAUAGUGAACCAGUACCGUGAGGGAAAGGUGAAAAGCACCCCGGAAGGGGAGUGAAAUAGAUCCUGAAACCGUGUGCCUACAAGUAGUUAGAGCUCUAUGUUUAUUUUCUUGCGAAAAAAACAGAGUGAUAGCGUGCCUUUUGUAGAAUGAACCGGCGAGUUACGAUCCCGUGCAAGGUUAAGUCGAAGAGACGGAGCCGUAGCGAAAGCGAGUCUGAAUAGGGCGCAUGAGUACGUGGUCGUAGACCCGAAACCAGGUGAUCUACCCAUGUCCAGGGUGAAGUUCAGGUAACACUGAAUGGAGGCCCGAACCGACUCACGUUGAAAAGUGAGCGGAUGAGGUGUGGGUAGGGGUGAAAUGCCAAUCGAACCUGGAGAUAGCUGGUUCUCUCCGAAAUAGCUUUAGGGCUAGCCUCAUGUAGUAAGAGUCUUGGAGGUAGAGCACUGAUUGGACUAGGGGUCCUCAUCGGAUUACCGAAUUCAGUCAAACUCCGAAUGCCAAAGACUUAUCCAUGGGAGUCAGACUGCGAGUGAUAAGAUCCGUAGUCAAGAGGGAAACAGCCCAGACCGCCAGCUAAGGUCCCCAAGUAUACGUUAAGUGGAAAAGGAUGUGGAGUUGCACAGACAACCAGGAUGUUGGCUUAGAAGCAGCCACCAUUUAAAGAGUGCGUAAUAGCUCACUGGUCGAGUGACUCUGCGCCGAAAAUGUACCGGGGCUAAACGUAUCACCGAAGCUGCGGACUGUUCUUCGAACAGUGGUAGGAGAGCGUUCUAAGGGCGUUGAAGCUAGACCGUAAGGACUGGUGGAGCGCUUAGAAGUGAGAAUGCCGGUAUGAGUAGCGAAAGAAGGGUGAGAAUCCCUUCCACCGAAUGCCUAAGGUUUCCUGAGGAAGGCUCGUCCGCUCAGGGUUAGUCGGGACCUAAGCCGAGGCCGAAAGGCGUAGGCGAUGGAUAACAGGUUGAUAUUCCUGUACCACCUCCACUCCGUUUGAGCAAUGGGGGGACGCAGAAGGAUAGGGUAAGCGCGCUGUUGGAUAUGCGCGUCUAAGCAGCAAGGCUGAGAAGUAGGCAAAUCCGCUUCUCGUGAAGGCUGAGCUGUGAUAGCGAGGGAAAUAUAGUACCGAAGUUCCUGAUUUCACACUGCCAAGAAAAGCCUCUAGCGAGGAGNNNNNNNNNNNNNNNNNNNNNNNNNNNNNNNNNNNNNNNNNNNNNNNNNNNNNNNNNNNNNNNNNNNNNNNNNNNNNNNNNNNNNNNNNNNNNNNNNNNNAUGGUGCCCGUACCGCAAACCGACACAGGUAGGCGAGGAGAGAAUCCUAAGGUGAGCGAGAGAACUCUGGUUAAGGAACUCGGCAAAAUGACCCCGUAACUUCGGGAGAAGGGGUGCUCUGUUAGGGUGUUAAAGCCCGAGAGAGCCGCAGUGAAUAGGCCCAGGCGACUGUUUAGCAAAAACACAGGUCUCUGCGAAGCCGUAAGGCGAAGUAUAGGGGCUGACGCCUGCCCGGUGCUGGAAGGUUAAGGGGAGAGGUUAGCGCAAGCGAAGCUUUGAACCGAAGCCCCAGUAAACGGCGGCCGUAACUAUAACGGUCCUAAGGUAGCGAAAUUCCUUGUCGGGUAAGUUCCGACCCGCACGAAAGGCGUAACGAUCUGGGCACUGUCUCAACCAGAGACUCGGUGAAAUUAUAGUACCUGUGAAGAUGCAGGUUACCCGCGACAGGACGGAAAGACCCCGUGGAGCUUUACUGUAGCCUGAUAUUGAAUUUUGGUACAGCUUGUACAGGAUAGGUAGGAGCCUGAGAAGCCGGAGCGCUAGCUUCGGUGGAGGCGUCGGUGGGAUACUACCCUGGCUGUAUUGAAAUUCUAACCCGCAGCCCUUAUCGGGCUGGGAGACAGUGUCAGGUGGGCAGUUUGACUGGGGCGGUCGCCUCCUAAAGAGUAACGGAGGCGCCCAAAGGUUCCCUCAGAAUGGUUGGAAAUCAUUCGCAGAGUGUAAAGGCACAAGGGAGCUUGACUGCGAGACCUACAAGUCGAGCAGGGACGAAAGUCGGGCUUAGUGAUCCGGUGGUUCCGCAUGGAAGGGCCAUCGCUCAACGGAUAAAAGCUACCCCGGGGAUAACAGGCUUAUCUCCCCCAAGAGUCCACAUCGACGGGGAGGUUUGGCACCUCGAUGUCGGCUCAUCGCAUCCUGGGGCUGUAGUCGGUCCCAAGGGUUGGGCUGUUCGCCCAUUAAAGCGGUACGCGAGCUGGGUUCAGAACGUCGUGAGACAGUUCGGUCCCUAUCCGUCGUGGGCGCAGGAAAUUUGAGAGGAGCUGUCCUUAGUACGAGAGGACCGGGAUGGACGCACCGCUGGUGUACCAGUUGUCUUGCCAAAGGCAUAGCUGGGUAGCUACGUGCGGACGGGAUAAGUGCUGAAAGCAUCUAAGCAUGAAGCCCCCCUCAAGAUGAGAUUUCCUUUUACUUCGGUAAGUAAGAUCCCUGAAAGAUGAUCAGGUAGAUAGGUUCGAGGUGGAAGCGUGGCGACACGUGGAGCUGACGAAUACUAAUCGAUCGAGGACUUAAC